rnacentral:rRNA from 1 species
CCUACGGGAGGCAGCAGUGGGGAAUAUUGGGCAAUGGGCGCAAGCCUGACCCAGCAACGCCGCGUGAAGGAAGAAGGCUUUCGGGUUGUAAACUUCUUGUGUCAGGGACGAAGCAAGUGACGGUACCGGACGAAUAAGCCACGGCUAACUACGUGCCAGCAGCCGCGGUAAUACGUAGGGGGCAAGCGUUAUCCGGAUUUAGUGGGUUUAAAGGGCGUGUAGGCGGGAAUGCCAGUCAGAUGUGAAAACUAUGGGCUCCACCCAUAGCCUGCAUUUGAAACGGUAUUUCUUGAGUGCUGGGGAGGCAAUCGGCCUUCCGUGUGUAGCGGUGAACUGCGUAGAUCUACGGAG